ensembl:lncRNA
AUGUUGCUUUGCAGCUGUGCCCUGAGAAGGGAGGACGGUCGGCUCGAUCUCAUAGACGCUUUAAAACAAAGGACUUCUGUUCAUGGCCUUGGUUCAUAUCUCAUUCUGUACGAAAGUUCCGGAUCCAAGUUUUACUUUUAUGUCAAUUAAUUAUGAUUUGCACCGGCCACUGAGGAGGAUCUUGUGUGUGAUCUUGUGUGUGUGUGUGUGUGUGCUGCCCUCAGCUUCACCUGGGUUCUUAUCUCAACCUGCUUUGCAGAUUCUCGUAGCUGGCACGGAGAAUGUCCUUAGCAAUAAAUGGACUUUUUGCAACUUUGAUCAUUCAUCAAGACUCUGUUUUAUCAGACAAAUCAUUCUCUUCUACCGAGCUUUUAUUGAAAUAUUCCACAACAGUCCACAACUGCAUAAUAGUCCAGCUUGCAGUACUUGGUUGUCCAUCAGAUGUCCCUCCUAGGACAGGUCUAUAGCAGCGGUCGGC